UACAGAACCUUCCUUUAAGCGGGGGAUAGCCCAUAGAAAUGUGGAUUAAUACCCCAUGGUAUUAUUGAUUGGCAUCAGUUAAUAAUUAAAGAUUUAUCACUUAAAGAUGGCUGUGCGUCUGAUUAGGUAGUUGGUUGGGGUAAAGGCCCACCAAGCCAGCGAUCAGUAACUGGUGUGAGAGCACGACCAGUCACACGGGCACUGAGACACGGGCCCGACUCCUACGGGAGGCAGCAGUAAGGAAUAUUGGUCAAUGGACGCAAGUCUGAACCAGCCAUGCCGCGUGAAGGAUGAAGGCCCUCUGGGUUGUAAACUUCUUUUAUCUGGGAAGAAAUGCCUGAUUUUUAUUGGGUUUGACGGUACCAGAGGAAUAAGCACCGGCUAACUCCGUGCCAGCAGCCGCGGUAAUACGGAGGGUGCGAGCGUUAUCCGGAUUCACUGGGUUUAAAGGGUGCGUAGGUGGGUUGGUAAGUCAGUGGUGAAAUCUCCGUGCUUAACAUGGAAACUGCCAUUGAUACUACUGGUCUUGAAUUUUCUGGAGGUAAGCGGAAUAUGUCAUGUAGCGGUGAAAUGCUUARAUAUGACAUAGAACACCAAUUGCGAAGGCAGYUUACUACAGGGACAUUGACACUGAGGCACGAAAGCGUGGGGAUCAAACAGGAUUA
rnacentral:rRNA from 1 species